rnacentral:rRNA from 1 species
UAAGGAAUAUUGGUCAAUGGACGCAAGUCUGAACCAGCCAUGCCGCGUGAAGGAUGAAGGUCCUCUGGAUUGUAAACUUCUUUUAUCUGGGACGAAAACGGGAUUUUUAUCUCAAUUGACGGUACCAGAGGAAUAAGCGCCGGCUAACUCCGUGCCAGCAGCCGCGGUAAUACGGAGGGUGCGAGCGUUAUCCGGAUUUACUGGGUUUAAAGGGUGCGUAGGUGGGCUUAUAAGUCAGUGGUGAAAUCUCCGAGCUUAACUUGGAAACUGCCGUUGAUACUAUAGGUCUUGAAUUAUCUGGAGGUAAGCGGAAUAUGUCAUGUAGCGGUGAAAUGCUUAGAUAUGACAUAGAACACCAAUUGCGAAGGCAGCUUACUACAUAUAAAUUGACGCUGAGGCACGAAAGCGUGGGGAUCAAACA